CGCAAAGUAUAACAUCUACAUAAAAUAUUGAACGAUUAACAUAUGAUUUAUACAUGAAUUAUUAACGUAUGAUAACGUAUGAAUGAAUACUUUGUUUGAGGCAUUGUUCUACGAUUAAAAAAAGAUCAUUUAUGUCAAUACACGUUCGUGCGUCUUUAACGAGGGUGGAAACGCGUACUUUUCAUAACGAUGCGACCGAGUCACAUGCUUCUACAAGAUAUAGAUAGAACUAGGAAGACGUGGUGAAUCAUUGUCGUCGGAGGUUUGGCUGGCGUCCCGCGGUCCAAACUAGCUGAACUCGCCUCGCAACAGGGAGCUUCAGAGAGCUGAUCUCUACCGCGCAAAUAUUUAUGUUUCUAUUCUUAUCGAGACGUAUCGAUGCACGAUGCGCGAAACGCAAUUGCGUUAGAAGUACAUAAAGAAAUAGAUUAUUUAUGUAUUUCGAAAUUUCUCGAUACACUUAAACGAUAUUGUAUUGGCAAUUAUCGAUUUGCUCUUUAUUAUCGAUGAUCCUCUUAAGCAAGGAGAUUAAAUUUUCAUCGGAUAUUUCUUCAGUUUUUAUUCCCUAAAAAUAGAGAAUCAAGAGCAACGAAAGAAUCGUUAACUUUCUUUUUCCUUCCUCGUUUCGUUCUCUCCGACGAAAACGUUCAAGGGUGAAAGCAUAUACGUGUCCACCGAUUUCCACGCCAUUGUGGGGUUUCCCAAGUCGAAUCGAGUCGAACCGAGGCAAGAAUAUCACGACACGCAAAUAGUCGCGCAGGUAUUUUUAAAUAUCAAAAACAUCUGCUUCGAGCUUUCUGUCUCAUCGCGCGCCGCGCGUGAUGUAACGCGCGUGCACGCACGCACAGACGACGCGCCAAAAUUCCGUCGCGUGUAUUCCGAGCUUAAUACCGCAACACUCUUUUCUCCUCACUUUCUUCUUCCCCUACCUAAUUGCUUCAUCCGUGAAAUUCUCUAGGCGCGUCUCAUCGACCGAAUCACCGCGACUACACUUGAACCCCUAACGUUUCUGCUCCACUAUUGAAUCAUACGUAUCACGAAAGGCCGUAUGUCUUUCUAAUUUAAGCCUAGUUAUUCGAGCAUGUGCUUUUUCGUUCGCUUCGAUAAAAUUACACACGCGAAUGUUUACGUUUUUCUUGACAAAUCGAUAAGACGUAAAGCACGUUGUACGUCACCGGUAUGUACGUACGACGCAACGUAAGAAUCAAGUAACAGACACGCGAGCUUGCGAUUAGAUCAAAAAUCCAUAGCAAAAGCGUAGCUUAAUUUAUUUCGUCAUGGUCCAAAAUCAGCCGUUACGCCAACAGCUUGCCAUUCCAUGUGUACAUCCAUUUUAUAAGCCUAGAAUGGAGUAUAUGGAUGACGUUAUGUGGGAAUUCCGGAGCUUUGUAAAAGAGCUAACGUUCAACGUUCGAUUAUUCAGGCAUCGCAAUUUGAAAUAUUUAACGUAAAACCACGGAUAUAUCAAAUUAGCAUAGCAAAAGGAAAUCUUGUAAAUGUAAUUACACUGGAGUCUGUGAAAGAUGCAUAGACAACGGAUACAAAAGGCAUAGUGGAAAAGAUUUCUGACUAAACUUUUCUUCGAAGCAUCCGUAGCACAUUUAGCUGCGGCUCGAAUUCUCGUUUGAAUAGUCACUGAAAAGGAAGCUACUUUGGAAUUACGAAUAACGCGAUUGUUACUUGGAAAUGUCUCGAAAAAUAUUAUCUAUUUGAAAGUGACGAGUGGCAUUGAUCACUUUUCUCAAAAAUAUCACGAAUCGUCAAUAAUGGGAUUAUACUUAACUUCAUGGAAUUUCCGAACGAAAUAAACGGAAUAACGGAUCAUUCUCGAUUCUCGAUGAAAUCAUGGGAAACCCGCGCAUAAUCGUGGUUACAGAAUUGUUCCCCGUGUGCGGCGCGCGCGCGUGCGAUGCCAAUGACUGUUGUUUCAUGCGGUAAAAGUUGUUAGGAUUUUCCGAGAUGCUUCGUUUGUCCUUUCCGCGAGCGAUACUAAACCCGUGUCACGCGCGUUUCCUGCCUUCUUAACAAAACAUCUUAUUCCAUGGGUUUCUUUUUAUUGUCCAUUAAUAAGAACAGGCUUUAUCCUCGGUGUUUUUUGUGUCAUACAUCAUCGUCAAAUGUUCAAGGAUUUAACGAAUGUACUAAAACUACUUUGUGUUGCUAUUCUAUUCAUUUAUUCAUAAAAUGUUGUCGCUGAUGAGAUUUAAGCA